rnacentral:misc_RNA from 1 species
UGUGGGAGCGAGCCUGCUCGCGAUGGCGUCAGUUCAGCCAAUAUCAAUGGUGGUUGACCCACCGCUAUCGCGAGCAGGCUCGCUCCCACA